CCUACGGGCGGCAGCAGUGGGGAAUAUUUGGCAAUGGGCGCAAGCCUGACCCAGCAACGCCGCGUGAAGGAAGAAGGCUUUCGGAUUGUAAACUUCUUUUGUCAGGGAAGAGUAUAAGACGAUACCUGACGAAUAAGCCACAGCUAACUACGUUCCAGCAGCCGCGGUAAUACGUUGGUGGCAAGCGUUGUCCGGAUUUGCUGGGUGUAAAGAGCGUGUAGGCGGGUUGACAAGUCUGAUGUGAAAGCCUGCGGCUUAACCGUAGAACGGCAUUUGAAACUGUUGAUCUUGAGUACUGGAGAGGCAGAUGGAAUUCCUAGUGUAGCGGUGAAAUGCGUAGAUAUUAGGAGGAACACCAGUGGCGAAGGCGGCUUGCUGGACAGCAACUGACGGUGAGGCGCGAAAGCGUGGGGAGCAAACAGGAUUAGAUACCCGAGUAGUC
rnacentral:rRNA from 1 species